AACUAAGACAAAAGGAGCAGGCAUAGCACAUUAAGUCAGGCCAGUGUGCUGCCUUUCGUGUUCGUUGCCCCUACAGUCUUGACGUAAGCUUUUGUUUUUCACUUAAUAUAUACACCUCCCUGCAGUGGUUGCAUUAGUGCCAGAUCAGAAUCGCACGGCGGGGUAGUAUUGAACUCGAGACCCCGUUGUUCCAAGUUUUCACGCGAGAAUAAAAAGCUAAGUAACGCUGUUUAAGCUGCAGAUGCUCUUGGUAGUUUUGACUACAAACCACGCUCGCUCUUCCCAAAAUGGUAAGUGUGCGGUUUCACUUAUUUCACAUUUUUCUAACUUGAUAAUAACAAGCAAGUAAUGCGUAUCUUCAAUUUUUUCCAAGAAGACAAGAAGAUUUAUGUGCACUUGCACAAUCGCAUUUAUUUUUCUGGUGGUGGAAUCACAUUCUUCUGUGAAGCAGAAUAAACUGAAUGCAAACAACUGGGGCCCACAGUCAAUGAUGUACCUGAAAGGAAAAUAUGGCAGAAGAUUGGCACCUGACUAUGAUGGGGAUGGUAUAUAUAAUUUAGGUUUGAAAGACUGGUACACAGUUCUCAAAGGAUUCCAAAGGUUGAAGCCAGUGGUCGUGAGGAAAGCCAGACGAAUGCUGAAGGCUGAAAACAUAGUGAUGGGCUACCUGGAGUAGAGCUCAGCUGUGACUGAAGCCUCAUGCGAGAACAUGCUCCAGCAUCACCAAAUGUAAAAAGCUGCACACAAAAAAAUAUUUUCAUCAUGUGACUUUAUUCAGAGGAGUAAUGAUUUCUAUACACAAAAUAUUUUUACAGUAUGUCACUUUUUUUCCUCCUGUGUUGUAAGUCUGUACUGUUCUUUGCCGUUCAUACCAAAUUAAAAGGUCUUCUGCUUCCUUUAAAACAGUGUUG